UGUGGGGACCCGCAGCUGCCCCAGCCUGGCACUGCCACCCCAGCCCUGCCCUGAAACUGGGAGUGCUCAGGUGCUGGGACAGAGCCAUGGAUGCUGGGGGUCCCGUGUUCAUUUCUGGCCCUGCAGUGUGGCUGUGCCUGUGCUUCCAGGCAGACCUGCUGCUCCUUGUGCCUCUGCUGUCCUGGCUGCUGUGCCAGGGUGGCAGUGACAGAGCUCUUUGUGUCCACCUCAGCCCUGUGUGCUGGGAGGAGGUGUCUGAGCAGCCCUUGGCUACGCUGGCAAGGAGACCUGCUGGAGCUGCCUGUGCGGGUGGCUCUGCCUUGCUGCCACUGCCCCCAGACAGGGCUGGGACUGGGGCUGCCCCCACCCCAACUGGGAUCUCUGGGGAAACUGGGGAUGGAGGCACCAGCCUUCUCUGCGGGUCUGGGAAAAGCAUGUCUGUGGCACCCAUUCCUCUGCCAGCAGUGCCGGGGAUCAUGACAGCUCACUCUCCCUAUCCUUCUGUUUCUAGAUGAGUUUGCCACACAGGAAUACAGUGCUCCCUGCACCACAGAGGAAGCAGACCAGGGAAAUGACUGAAGAACACUCCCAGAUGCUGGAACCUGCCUGCCUCACCACCACCACCACCACAGCAUGACAUUAAUAAUGCCUGCAUGGAAUGGAAAGUGAACUUUACAAAUAAAUUAACUGUACUCACCAAUGAUUUUUGAACAGUUUGUUCCCCAUUCUGAUUUUUCCUGCUCGUUUUUCUGUCACAGCUUUAAUUUCCCUGGCUUCUUAGGUUAAAGAGUAACCCAUCUAACAAUGCCUGUGUGCAGGGAAAUAAGGCUAACAAGUGAGGGGGAAAAAAAGAGGACAGAAUUAUCUAAGUGGGGGUCAGCCUUUCUAAUGUAUCUGUCUCUGUGUUAUGAUCUCUGAAGUUAUCAUCUGUAUGCAGUCUAAUCAAUGGAGAAGGACAGGUAGUUCUUGGGAACAAUUUCUCUCCCCUGGCUUACAAACCAUAUCCUCCAUUGAAUUGGUCUCUGCAGAGGCCUAUCCAUGCCUCCUGCCAUUAGGCAGCCUGGAAGAUCAACUAAUGUUACAUGAAAUUCAGCCUCUGUUAUCUCCCCUGUAGACACCCCUCCUGGGAUGGUUUCUUGUUUGUAGAAGAGUGGAAGGAGACAGAGUCUGCACUCCUCAAUGAUUAGAGAGUGCCAGGGGGACAGGAGGGAUGUGUGCCUGCAUUAUGCCUUCAGCUGCUGCCUUACAAUGCUUGUUCCUCCUUGUGGAAGUUUCCAUUGUCUCAUGUCUGCUACUUCUGGGAGAUUCCCAAGGAGAAGCUAAUGGCAUUUGCCACUAACCUACCUGCCUAAGCCUAGUUUAAAUGGUACAUUCAUUUAAAUCACAUAGCUCCCUUGAUGAAACUGUCUAUAGGCCUCUUAGGCACCCCCAGGAAUGAUCCCCCUUUCUUCGUUUUGUCUCAAGAAUUUGUGGUUUUAACUUUUGAAUGCAAAAAAUCUUAUGAGCCUGUUUAUUCUCAUUAAAUGCUUACUGUUAGGUAUCAUGGCAUGUUGUGCAUCCAAAGUAUGCACAGUUGGCUGUUUCAUCCAAUUUUUGGUUUAGUGUACCUGCACAAACAGUGUCAUUGAGAACAAAUAAAAUUCUUCAUCUAUUUUGGUAGA